CUACAAUGGACGGUACAGAGGGUCGCAAUAUCGCGAGAUGGAGCCAAUCCCAAAAAGCCGUUCCCAGUUCGGAUUGGAGUCUGCAACUCGACUCCAUGAAGUUGGAAUCGCUAGUAAUCGCGGAUCAGCAUGCCGCGGUGAAUACGUUCCCGGGCCUU
rnacentral:rRNA from 1 species